UGGCACAUAGGCACUCAAAAUAAAUUAAACUGUGGCAUAGGAACGAGCAGCUCAGCAUUCUAGGGGGUUGUGUGACCGGGAGCCCUGGACCAGGCGCUAACCUGAGGAGAGGAUACAGGAGAAGGCCUCGCUAGGAGAGCUCUUGUGGAAGGAACGUUGGCCUGGGAGAACCAGAUGCACGAGGGCUAAGGCCUGGGGAGGCGCCAGAUAAAUCCGGUUUCCGCGCGCGGACUCCCUGAGGCUCCAAAAACCACGUUCCGCGCACAGUCAGCUAGUUCUCCCGCCAUAGCCAAAGUCGAAAUGCCGGGGACCCCCCCCCACCCCUCUCCGCCCCGCUCCCUCUCCUCCCCUCUCGGCCCGGAACUUCCCUGGGAUUGGUUGCCUACCCCACGGCCCUCCUCCCGUCCCGCCCCCUCCCCAAUCGUCCCGGGGAUUGGCUGCCCGCUCCGCAGCCCUCCAGGUCCCGCCCCACCUGCUGUGUCUCCGCGGUCGUGGGUCUCUUUGUCCUACGGAGUUGGGCGGGCGCAGCCGCGGCUACUUUGCAGCGGGUUCGGGCCAGGCCCAGCCUGCGGCGGCAACAGCGGGUCUCGGACCGACCGUGAGCCUGGGGACUUUGUCUCCAACGACUGCGGGUGCAGCGGCCUGAGUUCUAAGCGCAGGAGAUGAGUAUACAUCAACAUUUUUAGAAGAAAACGUACAUUGUCACCUUGCUGGGAGAGGCCUUAGGAAGUACUGCUAACCAUCUACCCUGUCAUCAGAAUAGAAGUCCUCCUGGAUUCACGUGAGAUACCAAGCUAGAUCCAUAUCAUCACCCCCCCGCCCCAGGACAAUUAGAAGGCCAUCCCUAUGCGUGACCUCAAAUUGAGGAUUUCAAGAGCUUACUCAGGCUCCAGAAGCAGACGACACCACGAAGUAGACAGCUUUACCCAAGAUCUCCGAUCAAGAAUUUUGUCUCCAUUUAUCUUCCCUUGCAACCUCUGCCUGACCUGCAAAAUUCUCUGACCUAGAAAUUUAAACAAAACCCUUCCUCUUUCAGUUACAGAAGGACUGACUGGAGGUUGCUUGUCUAAACCUAUCCUCCCUCUGUUCCCCCACUACGGGCUCCCUUUCAGACUAUGUCUUGCUUCAGCGAAUUCUUACUGCUUUUUCAGCAGUUUUAGCAUGGCCACAACACCUACUCACACCAGUCUUUCAAACCCUGGCCACCUUAACUAAUCAGUCUAAUUGCUGGUUAUGUCAGCGUCUAAAUAACGCACCAGAAUCUGAACUAGGUUUCGUCCCUGCCAGUGCAAGCACCUGGUGGACCCAUUCUGGACAAUGGAUGUAUGGAAGGCUCUCUGCUUCCUCCUACGGCAGAGUGACUUGGCAUUGGGGAACCCCCAUGGAGGCUCGAGGUCUGUCCUUCAUUCAGGUGAGGGUAUUGGAGGGAAAAUUUUCUCUUUGCAUUGAAAAUAAAAACGGCACUGGACCCUUCCUAGGUAACAUACCAAAACAAUACUGUAAUCAAACAUUGUGGUUUGAUUCCACAGAUGACACCUUCAGAUCCUCCAAAGAUGUUAUAAAUGAGUUCCAGACUGAUUAUUAUAAUGAUACAAAUGUUUGCCUAGUCACUGGACAGUAUUCCUGGUCUGCAGGCCACAAAAAUAGGACCUGGAACCGCCCAGCUGUUCCCCUGGUUGGUCUGCCCGAUACCCCAGGCCACAAAUGGGUCGACCAGAAUUCUGGAAUGACCUGGUCAGGUAAUGACACCUUUCUCGAUAGCUGCCAAAACCAGACUGAAGGUCUCCUCUUACCAGAUAUUUCGCAGCCUGUUUUGCUCUUACAGCCUGACAGAGGCACAUGGGAAAUGGAGAUAUACAGUUGCCAACAUAACUAACGACAAAGACCACCAUGGACACCGAACUCCAACCUGGUGGGUCACAGGUUCCACUCUGACCUUGUUUGUGAACACCUCUGGUCUGUUUAUUUUAUGUGGCAAUAAGAAUAAGAUAUAUAAAGGGUUCCCACCUAAGUGGUCAGGGCGAUGUGGACUUGGCCACCUGGCACCUUCCCUCCCUAGUUAUCCCCCUUCACAUGCUAGCCGGGUUACAGACCUGGGCUCCUUCAGGCAUAAAGUAGCACCGCGUAGACGCAUCCAGCCAGACAGUGUCGGCAAGCCACUCAUGUAUCGCAGUACUGAUUCAGUAAGGACCCUUUUUCCAAGCUUGAAAACUUCUGAUCUAGAAGAAGCAAUUCUGAACAUUUCCAAAGGCAAGGAACAAGGAUUCACUGGCACCCCGCAGACCUUGAAAGCACGUCCGUCAGGGGUUAGCAGUUUCGCCUCUGUGCUCUGAAAUCGCCGUCUCCUGCCUACACAGGCUGCCCAGCAGGGAGCACAGUGUGCCGUCAUUGGCCGAUGGUGCUGCUUGUGUGUAAAUAAAUGAAGUACAGGAUAGUUUGAACCGUAUAAAAGAACGGUCGACAUCCUACGUAAAAUGAGUGAAGCACCGUUGAUUAAUUGGACUGACCUCGAGAAUAAGAGACUGGUUCAGUGAAAGAUGGGGCUAUGUGUUGGGAUUUGCUCUUUUAUGCGUAUUCAUCCUCGUUAUCUGUUUUUGUUUGCAGAUCUCUUACCUCCCGACUUCUAAUCCACGUCUCCCCACAGCAAUCUCCCCAGCUCCUUGCCUAUGAAACUUCAUGACAGGUUAUAACAGGGAAAUGAAGGGACUAACCUCACCAAAAUGGCAUAAUGACUAUUGAAACUGAGACCAUCUGAACAAACAGCAGCUGCUGGAAAAAAAAAAAAGAAAAACACCAAAAAAACAACAAAUUUUCUCUGAACUUCCCUUUGAUAAGUAAAGCAGGUCUUUCUAAGUAUUCAGCUGCCAUAAGCCCUCUCUGGCAUCAGGACCUGCCAAGGAACUGUGUAAAUACAUCCUGUGAGAACCUUCCAUACUUUCCCACUGAGGCCUUAAUACCUUUCCCCACCCCCAUCCUAUUAAGCUGGUAUAUAAAUCCUUACUCCUUACAGCAUGCUCUUGCCUACAUGUAUAAUAAUCUUUGCUCCUAUUAAUCUGUCUGUUAAUUCACAGGCCCCCAAGUACUUCAACCUAAGUUGGUAAAGAAAAAGUUUUCGUCCCAGUAACACUUUUUAGACUUUUCUGGAUACACCGGAGAAUGUGUUCAAAUACAUAAGGGAAUUUGGAAACCUUGAUUUUGUUGGAAGGUGAAAGAAUCCAGUGUACAUGUACACGGGCUCUGUGGAAAUCCUUUUAAAUUUGUCUCAAACAGUGUGUUUAAUAACUGACUGAAAACUUUCUCUUUAUUUCCCUUAGGGAGAAAGCUGUUGACCACUUAAUCUGGGAUGAUCUGCUGUACUCUCCUGAUUUCCCGUGAGCAUUUAAUCUAUGGUCUAAAGGGUCGUUUGUCUGGUAUGAGUUGUAGCUGUCUUAUGAUUAUGGGCAGCAGCAGCGAGGGGGGCUGUAGGGACCAAGUGGAGGUAGCAUUUAUCGUAUUGCACGUGUCACUCCAUUGCUCCUGUCCUUACAUUAUUCCGUUUAAUUCUCACACAGUGUUCUUCCCGUUUUACAGAUGAAUAAAUUGGAAGGGUAGAUAACUUGCUAAAGAUUAUACCAUUACUGGGACUUCCUGGUGGUCCAGUGGUUAAGACUCUGCACUCCCAAUGCAGGGGGCAUGGGUUCAAUCCCUGGUUAGGGAACUAAGAUCCCAUGUGCCGUGCAGCGCAGCCAAAAAAAAAAAAAAAAAGACUAUACCAUUACUGAAAAUAAGAGCAAGAUGCAGAACUGGUAGCUAGUGUGCAACCUUUCAUAGAGCAGAGGAAAGAGGAAAAAAUACACAGCCAUUCCUCGGAGAUAUUGUGGGUUUGGUUCCAGACCACUGCAGUAAAGGGAGUCGCACAAAUUUUUUGGUUUCUCUGUGCAAAUAAAAGUUAUGUUUACACUAUACUGUAGUUUAUUAAGUAUGCAGUAGCAACAUGUCUAAAAAACAAUGCACAUCCCUUUAUUAAAAAUAGUUUCUUGCUAGAAAAUGCUAACCAUCACCUGAGCCUUCAUCAAGUCAAUCUUUUUUGCAAUAGUGACUUCACAGAUCACCAUAAGAAAUAUAAUAAUAAUAAUGAAAAAGUUUGAAAUAUUGCGAGAGUUGCCAAAAUGUGACACAGAUGCAAAGUGAGCAAAUGCUGUUGGAAAAAUGGAACCAACAGACUUGCUCCACACAGGGUUGCCACAAACUGUCAAUUUGUAAAAUAUGCAGUAUCUGCAAAGUGCAAUAAAGUGAAGCAAUAAAACGAGGUAUGCCUGUAUGUAUACAUACAUAUAGUUACUCAGCUUUGCAAAAAGACAACUGAAAGUUGAAUAUAAACGAACUAAUGAACAUUAUAGCAAAUUGACAACUUCACAUAGAGAAAAUUAUUUCAAAAGUUAUUUCAAGCUAUGCCAAAAAAUGAACAGUAUUCUGGGUACAUCCUUAGAGGUGGGUUUAUUGUUCAUAGUGAUAUUGGUAUCAAAAGAAGAUAAAAUAUGAAAACUGUUCCAGUGGUACAGGGCAUAGUAAGAGGGGAACUCAUGAGCAGAAGUCCUCUAUCUGUUCCUUUCCUGUGUGUGUUAAGCAAACAGUAGUUAAACUCUUGCACUGAAACUAGAGAAACCAUUAAAAGAUGAGCAUUCAGCUUUCAGUAUUGGGUAUUUUGUGGUACCUGGAUAGAUGAGGGUCAUGGGAUGCUGAAAUAGAGUGGCAGGAGUGUUCUAAGCAAUUGGGGGAAGUGAUAGGAAAAGAAAUCUAGAUUCUUGACACAAUCUCAAUUUUCUUCUGUAAAAUGGAGAAAAACAGUAAAGGGUAGGUAGGCCACCACUGCUUUCUCGGUGGCCUUUUUGACAAAAACAAUGAUAUAAAGUUUAUUGUUAACGAAUUUCCUUUCAGGAGACGUUUGAUAGCUACUGACCCUUGGAAUUCAGUGCUCAAGGGUCACUUUUAAAGAGGUUUGAGACAGACUAGAUUAUAAACUUAUUUGUAUACCUAUUGUCUGUUCCCUGGUAGAAUGUAAGCUUCACAAGGACAGGCAUAUUUGUUGAAUCACAAUGAAGAGGGUUGUGGUGAGGAUUGAGUAAUGCAUGUAAAGCUGACCUUGGGCAUUGCUUAACUAAAUGUAAGAUAGAGUUCACUUAGAGCCAAUAUGAGUAGCAGGUUUGAAUUUUGGCAUUGGUUGUUGUCAGAUGUAAAUUUCCAAAAACUUAUGAAUAAAGUUGAUUAUAUGCCAUUUUGGAGUUCUGAUCAUGGCUUACUUUGUUUCCCUUUUCAAGUAUUCGGGUACAUUAGAAACCUUAUGCAUAUAUGCAAAUCUACUUAUUCAGCCCUUAUUUCACACCAUUGAGUUCUAACAAAGUUAGGAGGAAAAGUUGUGAAAUGAGAGUGUAGUAAUUGGAAUGUUAGAAAAUGUCUAUUGGAAGGAUAAGGUCUUAUUCUGUCAACUGGCAUGAGUGAUUUGGAGGUGUGUUUAGCCACACAAUAUUGGGUUAAAGGAUAUGCACCUUUUCUGCUUCCUUAUGUAAAGUUUGUAGGGCAUGAAAAGUUAUAGAAAAUAGUUUCAAAAUUAUUAAUGGACACAUUUUUGAUACUUGGAUCUUAAGUUAUUUUGUAGGACAGAUACUCUCUUUCCAUCAUUUUGUAAGAGAUAGAGCACAAGGUACAUGGGUUGGCAAGAGUUUAUUAGCCAACUGAAAAGCCUCAGAUGUUUUUAACACUUCUUUGAAUUAUUUAUCAACAUUUACCAAGACUCAAUGAAAGAUGCCAGAAAGCAGGGGCCAUUGUAAUCAAUUCUGUUAGAAUUAGGAGUAAUCCUUUGAAUGAUAUUUGUUACGAUGAUAAAUGAUUUGAACACCUUAAUCUACAAGUAGAAUUAAUAUGGGAGACAGCUUCAAGAAGCACUUGAAUUGUGUUCCACCAGACUACCAAAUAGGGGAGACUUAUCAAGGCAAAAACUGCAAGGUUACAGUUGUUACAUAACUUGUUUAUGAAGAAUUAUAAUGGGAGCUGGCAGGAAGUAAGGGUGCUUGUUAAAUAAGGAUUGAUUGGGGUCUGAAAUGGUUGCUUGG